AGCAACAAUUUUAUUGUUAAUGGUUAAUAAAUAUAAUUCUAUGUAUUAUUAUUGAGAAUUAUUCAAUUUUAUUUAUUCAAAUUGAUGAUAAAACAAGAAUUAAUUAUGUUUACUUUUCUAAAUAGAAUCACUAGGUCUUUAUGUUGGUGGACUUUUGAUUGGCUUCUGCAAAACCAUAAAAUUAUUUUAGAAUCUAGUUUUCUAAAAUAAUGUCUUUAGUUAUGGCUGAUUAGUCUUGAGGAAUCUGGAUCCAAAGGUAUAGACAUAAGAACUACUACUAAAGGGCUAGUGACCAAGCAAGCAUUUCAUUACAGAGCUGAAAAUGUGGCAUACCUCUAUGAUACUUAAUAUUUAUUUGCAGGUGAUAGUAAUCAUCAGUUUUGUGGCUCCAUAAUAUCCUUCAACUUCCUUUGCCAGUGUCAUCUAUAUCUUGAAAUUUGUUUCCAUAACCUUGAUACCAUCAUUCUUGACAUAUUAAUUUCCUGGCUAUAUCAGCUUGAUUCAGUCCUAACUAUACCUAACCAAUAGCACACCGUUACAAAGAAUCGGCUAAAUGAUAUGUAUUAAACAUUUUCUAAGAUUUGGUUAUUCCAGAAUUACAGAUAAAAGUUCCAGUAAUGAAAAACGAGCUGGGACCAUAAAUGUUAAAGCAACUUUCAAUUUGCAUAUUGACAAUAGCAUAAGACAUUUUAAAUAUUAUUUACAUAUUCUGCAUGCUUUUAAAACCACUAUCAUUUUCAGAUUUUUCUUUUUUAGUUUAUAGAUAGUCCUCGACUUAUAACUAUUAGUAUU
rnacentral:lncRNA from 1 species